rnacentral:lncRNA from 10 species
CUGCUGCUUUGAUGUCACCAGGAGUUGGGCACAGGGGACGGAGGGGCUAAGAACCACAAAGGGGGAGGCAGGGAGGCUGGCCUAAGGGGUCAAGGGAGGAGCCGAGUUAUUAGAGCCAGGGGCCAGGUCACCUAGUGGAGUCUAGAACCUUGGAGACCCAUCCAGUGGGAGACUCAGCCGCUGCUGAAGCCUUCAUCCAUGGUCAAGGGGAGGUACUCUUAUUUUCCCUGGAUGAAGACAAAAGGACUGAGGUACAGAGACUGAAGUAACUCACUCAGGGUCACAAUGAGAGGCUCCAGUGUCCAUUGACCGCCUCCCUCUUCUGUGUCACUACAACGGAUCAAGUGCUGAGCCAAGAACUGGGGAUGCAAGAUAACUUUUGCUUAUUGGAAGAGUUUUCUUUUGUUCCUCAAACUCAGCUCCUCUCUGUGAUGAGGCGUCUGUGGUGAAGUGAAAGACUGCUGGCCUUAGCCCUGAGUCUGCAUGUGAAAAUGUCAUCACAAGGGGAAGUAGACCUGGCCCUCUUCCAGGGCAGGGAGGAAAACGCAGCCUGUGCUGCAUGGGAACUUCACGUGCUAAUUGGACAUCCCAGAAUCUCACUAAAUCUUUAUCAUAGCAAGCAUCAAUCACUCAAUCUUCAUCAUAGCGAGCAUCAGUCAUAGAGAAUGUCAAGUCUGCUGAACACCUACCCAACAGGAUGAAACAAUGUUUGUGAAAGUUCUUUGUAAACAAGACGUGUGCACCUUCCCUUUUCUUCCAGUCUCAAUUCUGCACACGGUUUUCCUGUUGUCUCAUUUGCCACAACAGCCUCCUGCACUUCACCGUCUAGCCAUCUGCCUCUUCCUGUCUGUUCUGCUAUAAGGUCCACGUUUCAUCUGCCUGAAUUCCUUAAAGGCCAUCCGGCUUAGCCACCUAUUUUGAGUGGUAAACAGACUUCUUCUUGAACCUUUGAGAGCUCCCUGUUUAGUAGAUUUCAUUUGAGUAACUAUGAGUACAGAAUUAAUUCACCCAGGUUAAGACCCCCUAUCCCCAUCAAAUGAAAAUCACACAUGACAAAGGAAGCUAGACCUUAUCCUCUUGCAGGGCAGGGAGGAAAAUGCACCAUCUGCUGCAUGGAAACCUCAUGUGAAAAUCAGGUGUCCCAGGAUCUCACUCGAUCUUUCUGGCAAGGAUCUAGCCAUAGAGAAUGUCAAAUAUGAAUGACCCAUGUGGAAGAUUUGUCGGUAUCUGUGUCAGAAGGCCUUGCCUUAUGGACAUCAAGGACAAGGCCCAUCAGCAUCCUUGCAGGCUGUUCAGCUCGUCAUCCACAGACAGAGAUCUUGCUCACAAGCUGCAGAUGGAUUUUAUGCCUCCACACGAAGGUCCUUCACAUCUGGUCUUGAUAUGAUUUGUCCCCAAAAGAACUCCACUUGCCCUUCCCAGCAUGAGGCCAAAUCAGGUCAUCAGUGGCUAUAGCCUGGCUAAAGGCUAUUCUACAUGGUAGUAAUGGCUUAUUGUGUGUGCUAUUAGGAGUGAUGUCAUGCCCAGGGUUUGAGGAAUAACGCUCCUGCAAGAUGGCCAUGUGAUUAAACGGGUAAUAAGCUGACCUCUGUGAAGCUGGCUGUGUAGAUUGGCUUUCAAGAUCAUUUUGCAAAGCCCGUUUUCAUGUGCUGUCAGUCGUGGAUGGAUUUUGAUAACUAGCAUUGAUUUGCCAUGUUUAUGAAGUGCAGUUUCACAGGGUAAACUGUGUAAUUGCACCUGGAAUGGCAAUAUAAAUAACGUCCUUAUCUAUGGUAUUGACUGCCCAGGAUUCGCUGAAUAUAUAUAGCAUACCUCCAAACAGAGCCAAUAGCUGUUGACUCAAUUUUUACUAGGCUUAGCUCUCAAAUUUCAGGUGUCUUAAUAAGGAUUGGGUGGCGAAUGAUCAACUUUUACAUCUGUUUCUAAUUUCCAUGCUUCCUUUUCCAGGAGGAGAAAUUUAACAAGCAAUUUUCUUCAACAGGGGAAUAGUUCAUCUUGGUUCAAGUAAUCCCUCUGGUGCUGCAAAGGACAAUGGCUUUCUUUAGGGCCAUCAGAUUCCUUUCGCUCCUGUGCCCAGGGACAUAUCACUCCCAGGGUCAACUGUCCAUUUGCUCAUGGACAUCUGGGAUGAGUCACGUGGUAUAUUUUCCCAAAGUGAGGAAGGAAGAAAAGAAAGCAUCUUGAAUCUGUUAGAAAGACAGUCUCUUUGAAGCCUCAUGUCAUGGGAAUAUGGUUUAUGUUGAAUGUGUUCUAGAGUAUACCCAACAUCCUGUAAAUCAAAACACCAAAGUGCAAGCUGUGACCAGAAUGGGUAAAACACCUCCAGUGGACAAAUCCUUAGAGGUAGAUGAGGAUGAGUAGGGGAUUCUAACUGCUCUUGCUUGCUGGGGGUACUCCAUUCUAAGAAUUUUAAACCUCUAUGGCACGAAUGCAGUUAAUAGACUGUUGACAUGAAAAUUACAUGAGAUAGCACAGUUCUGUCUGUGAGAACAAGGGUGGUAAGAAAUGACAUUAAGGCAG